UGAAAAAACAAGAAAAAAACACCUUUUCUUUGUUAACGGAUUCUAUUUCAACAGAUAGUGGAUCUCGAUGGAUGUGUGUUUUUUUUUUCUCUUUUUUCUCCCCAAAAAAAGAAAAUAAAAAUCGUGGGAUAACAGUAUUUUCUAAUGCUUUAUCUUCGACAAGCAUUGCAGUGUAGACGACAAUUAGUGACGCAGGUUCUUCGCGGCAAACUCUCUUGUAAACCUGAGAGAUUCACUGCAACUUGGUGUAAAAAAGUCAUGUGGCGCUUUGGCAAGUGGCCAAACGUAGACGAAACAAGUGCUUUUCGGUGCAGCUUUCUUUAAAGAGUCGAAGCCAAACCAUCAGUUAGAGAGUCACAUGGAGAACGCUGGACCGAGGCCAAACGCAACAGACAUUCAUCUGAUUACAUUGCUGUUUCGGUAGCUGUCACUCCCGCUCAAGUCCGGUUGCUGAUUGGCAAGAUUCCUUGUUAGUCUAAGUUGUACAUGCCGUGUGCUGCGCAAGAAACAGGAAAGUUUUUUUUUUUUUUUUUCUGUUUGUUUUGUUUUCGUCACACCUCGCUCCGCAGGUGUAAUACAGCGCCAUCGCGCUGCAUAAGGAUAACAGAUAAUCGAUUGACGCACGCUCGUAUCCAAUUAUCAUGAAAUUUCUUCUUGCGUCUUCGACUUCUUUGGUUAGAUUCCAACUUUGAUUGGCCAAGGCAAACGCACCCUCACGAUCACACGGAAUAUUAGAAAAGCCAAGCGUGAUGCAAUCAGGAAUGCGUGAUCGCGACCACGUAGCGCGAAAACAAACAAUCAUUGCUGAAAUUCUUUGAAUUUCAGAAUUUUUUUUUUACAGAUGCUGUGCGCGUUUCUUAUAUUAAGCAUAUAGAAAGAUCUGAAGAAAGAAGAAAACAAAAAACGCAACUUGUUAUUGGGUUUCUAGGUUAUUUAUGUAUGCAGACGUUAGGAGGGCGUGAUAAGCGGAAAGGCAGACGCGAUGGAGACCCUGUUGAUUGGAAAAAGCUACUGGAUACCCCAUAAUCUAUGGAUCAUUUCACUGUUUCCGUCGCUCAAGGGUCGUCGUUUCCCAAAAGGACAAAUCCGGAAAAUAUAUUCAGUGUGGCUAGGAAUGAAAUGGGGAUACCAUAAACAAGCGAUCGACAUGCAGCUGUGCAAAUGCAAAUCAUUCGAUUUUGGCAUCUAUUUGUAUGUUGGCGCAAAAAAACACAACAACAAAAAACAAUGGCAAUUGUCUGUUCGAUUUCAAGCUUCAACACGUCGUUAAAAAAAAACGUACUGUACAACUAUGGCUAAUUCGUUUCGACUUGUUAAAACACUUUUACAGGGUUCGCCAUACAAGGAUAGCGUACUGUGAAAAGACGACGAAGAAUCAACGUUAUCUAUGCGAUUGCAACGAGUUUCGGCGAAAAGCAACAAAACCCAAAAUAGAAAGGGGUCUGGUAUUCGGAAGGCAAAAGAACCGAUCAAGGCAUUUUUUGUUGGUUUUUUUCAAUUCAUUGGCGACCUUCGUGAUUGAAGAGAACUAUAGAAAGAAAUUAAACUUUCAAUUGCAUUGAA
rnacentral:lncRNA from 1 species